rnacentral:rRNA from 1 species
GAUGAACGCUGGCGGCGUGCUUAACACAUGCAAGUCGAACGGGAAACCUUUUAUUGAAGCUUCGGCAGAUUUAGCUGGUUUCUAGUGGCGGACGGGUGAGUAACGCGUGGGUAACCUGCCCUAUACAGGGGGAUAACAACCAGAAAUGGUUGCUAAUACCGCAUAAGCGCACAGGGCCGCAUGGUCCGGUGUGAAAAACUCCGGUGGUAUAGGAUGGACCCGCGUUGGAUUAGCCAGUUGGCAGGGUAACGGCCUACCAAAGCGACGAUCCAUAGCCGGCCUGAGAGAGUGAACGGCCACAUUGGGACUGAGACACGGCCCAGACUCCUACGGGAGGCAGCAGUGGGGAAUAUUGCACAAUGGGGGAAACCCUGAUGCAGCGACGCCGCGUGAAGGAAGAAGUAUCUCGGGAUGUAAACUUCUAUCAGCAGGGAAGAUAGUGACGGUACCUGACUAAGAAGCCCCGGCUAACUACGUG